rnacentral:rRNA from 1 species
UUGGAGGGCAAGUCUGGUGCCAGCAGCCGCGGUAAUUCCGGCUCCAAUAGCGUAUAUUAAAGUUGUUGCAGUUAAAAAGCUCGUAGUUGAAUUUCGGGGUUAGUAGGUUGGUCAUGCCACUGGUAUGUACUGGUCUCACUGAUUCCUCCUUCCUGAUGAGCCGUAAUGCCAUUAAUUUGGUGUUGCGAGGAAUCUGUACUGUUACUUUGAAAAAACUAGAGUGUUUAAAGCAAGCUAACGCUUGAAUACAUCAGCAUGGAAUAAUGAAAUAGGACGUUCGAUCCUAUUUUGUUGGUUUCUAGGAUUGACGUAAUGAUUAAUAGGGAUAGUUGGGGGCAUUAGUAUUCAAUUGUCAGAGGUGAAAUUCUUGGAUUUAUUGAAGAUUAACUACUGCGAAAGCAUUUGCCAAGGAUGUUUUCAUUAAUCAAGAACGAAAGUUAGGGGAUCGAAGACGAUCAGAUACCGUCGUAGUCUUAACCAUAAACUAUGCCGACUAGGAAUCAGACGAUGUUAAUUUUUUAAUGACUCGUUUGGCACCUUACGGGAAACCAAAGUGUUUGGGUUC